AUGUGGGAAUUGAUCAUAAAUUUCGUUGCAUUUUUCUUUGAUUGUUUUGUUUUUCAAUUUAUAUUUCGAUAAUUUGUUCAGUUUGUGCUGUUUUUGAUUGAGAAAAGUAGUCGAUUUGAAGCUGGUUUAGCUGAGCAACAGAGUAGUAAUGUAGUUGCAGUUUUACAUUAUGUGGGAUUUGAUCAUAAAUUUCGUUGCAGUUUGCUUUGAUUGUUUUGUUUUUCAAUAUAUAUUUUGAUAAUUUGUUCAGUUUGUGCUGUUUUU